rnacentral:rRNA from 1 species
AUACGGAGGAUGCGAGCGUUAUCCGGAUUUAUUGGGUUUAAAGGGUGCGUAGGCUGUGCGUUAAGUCAGGGGUGAAAUGCCGUCGCUCAACGACGGAGCUGCCCUUGAUACUGGCGUGCUGGAGUACGGAUGCCGUUGGAGGAAUGAGUGGUGUAGCGGUGAAAUGCUUAGAUAUCACUCAGAACACCGAUUGCGAAGGCAUCUGACGAAUCCGUCACUGACGCUGAGGCACGAAAGCGUGGGGAUCAAACAGGCUUAGAUACCCUGGUAGUCCACGCUGUAAACGAUGAUGACUAACUGUCGGCGAUAUACAGUCGGUAGCCAAGCGAAAGCGAUAAGUCAUCCACCUGGGGAGUACGACCGCAAGGUUGAAACUCAAAUGAAUUGACGGGG